rnacentral:rRNA from 1 species
CGCUGAAUUGAUGGAAGCUUGCUUUUGGAUUUUCUGUUUUACUUAGUGGCGGACGGGUGAGUAACGCGUGAGUAACCUGCCUUACAGAGGGGGACAACAGUUGGAAACGACUGCUAAUACCGCAUAAUGUAUAACCGAGGCAUCUCGGAUAUACCAAAGGAGCAAUCCGCUGUAAGAUGGACUCGCGUCCAAUUAGAUAGUUGGUGGGGUAACGGCCCACCAAGUCGACGAUUGGUAGCCGGACUGAGAGGUUGAACGGCCACAUUGGGACUGAGACACGGCCCAGACUCCUACGGGAGGCAGCAGUGGGGGAUAUUGCACAAUGGGGGAAACCCUGAUGCAGCAACGCCGCGUGAGGGAAGAAGGUUUUCGGAUUGUAAACCUCUGUUUUUUAGUGAAGAAACAAAUGACGGUAGCUAAAGAGGAAGCCACGGCUAACUACGUG